AACGAACGCUGGCGGCAGGCUUAACACAUGCAAGUCGAACGCUCCGCAAGGAGAGUGGCAGACGGGUGAGUAACACGUGGGAACGUACCCUUUACUACGGAACAACUCCGGGAAACUGGAGCUAAUACCGUAUGUGCCCUUCGGGGGAAAGAUUUAUCGGUAAAGGAUCGGCCCGCGUUGGAUUAGCUAGUUGGUGGGGUAAAGGCCUACCAAGGCGACGAUCCAUAGCUGGUCUGAGAGGAUGAUCAGCCACAUUGGGACUGAGACACGGCCCAAACUCCUACGGGAGGCAGCAGUGGGGAAUAUUGGACAAUGGGCGCAAGCCUGAUCCAGCCAUGCCGCGUGUGUGAUGAAGGCCUUAGGGUUGUAAAGCACUUUCACCGGAGAAGAUAAUGACGGUAUCCGGAGAAGAAGCCCCGGCUAACUUCGUGCCAGCAGCCGCAGUAA
rnacentral:rRNA from 1 species